AGGAGGCAGCAGUGGGGAAUCUUGCGCAAUGGGCGAAAGCCUGACGCAGCAACGCCGCGUGUGUGAUGAAGGUCUUCGGAUCGUAAAGCACUGUCGCGAGGGAAGAGAAGCCUUGGGUGAACAAUCCAGGGAUAGGACGGUACCUCGAGAGGAAGCACCGGCUAACUCUGUGCCAGCAGCCGCGGUAAUACAGAGGGUGCGAGCGUUGUUCGGAAUUAUUGGGCGUAAAGCGCUUGUAGGCGGUUUUUUAAGUCUCAUGUGAAAGCCCCAGGCUUAACUUGGGAAGUGCAUGAGAUACUGGAAGACUUGAAUGCCGGAGAGGGUCGCGGAACUCCCGGUGUAGAGGUGAAAUUCGUAGAUAUCGGGAGGAACACCAGUGGCGAAGGCGGCGACCUGGACGGACAUUGACGCUGAGACGCGAAAGCGUGGGUAGCAAACAGGAUUAGAUACCCUGGU
rnacentral:rRNA from 1 species